rfam:Myotis lucifugus cont2.16072, whole genome shotgun sequence.
GGCCUGAUAGCUCAGUUGCUUAGAGCAUUGUCCUGCUAUGCCAAAGUUGUGGGUUCAAUCCCCAGUCAGGGCA